CAUUUUAAAAUUCCUUUUUAGAAAUUCAGGUUAUAAGAUGUUUGGUAACUAACCCUCUCUCCCUUAACUCUAGGAUGCAGAAUGAAUUUGUGCUUUACUGAUUGCUUCAAGAAUCUAAUAUAUAAGGUGUCUUCUGUAUCUGCAGAACAUGAGGCAGACCAGCAGAGGAGUGAGACCAUGCAGAGGCAAUUACUUUACCAUAUACAAUGACCAGCUGUGGAGGAUGGCCAAUGGACAUGGACGGGCUGAGGGCAAUGCUGCUAAAGAGCUGCUGUCCUUCGUUCUUGCUGGAAGCCACCUGACCACUGCCAGGAAGAGGCAUGCAAAACACUCCCAGGAGCUCCUGACGUCAGUCCUGCAUUCCAGCUCCAGGCCGUCCGGGCUGCUGCUGCCGGGAAACUCCAGCCUCCAGCAAACCCCACUGCAGGAGAUAACAGCUGAGGCCUGGACUAAAUCAUGGGAAGAACUCCUUCACAGUUGUGCUUUCGAGAUGAACUUUAUCUUACUCAAAAGAGGGGGGAGUGGGGAACAGUGCUGGAUGACAAAAAGCCACAUUUACCAUUAAUCUUCAAAAAUGUGGAUUUUUUUUUUUUUGUGUGUGUGCGUGUUGUUUUGGGACAAGGAAAAAAAUGAUUAAACAACAAUCGUCCACCGACCACUCAGCUUAGGCAUCAACGUGUAGAAUUACAGAAUAGUUUAGGCAUCAACCACAAGGCCUUCAUUAAUGAAACAAUGCCAACAACUCAGACUCCAAAUCCUGCACAGAGAGAUGCUCUAGGAGUGCUAAGAAAGCUGUGGAUAAAUUUUAACUUCAAAAGCUGUCAUUCUGAUUAAGAUGUUCCUCACAACUCAAUUUCUGCAGGGAUACAGCAAUUCUCUGGGUAUGUUUAAAGAGAAAUAUUGCACCUCUCAAUCUCACUGGUCUUCCUCUGGAGAGAGAUGAUUAUCAAGGGGUAAAGUUUUUUUUCUGUUUGCCUGUUUUUGUUUUUUUUUUGUUUUUUUUUUUAAGAUUUAUUUUUUAUUUAUUUCUCUCCCCUUCUCUCCCUAAUCCCCCCACUGUCUGCUCUCUGUGUCCAUUUGCUAUGUGUUCUUCUUUGCAGGCUUCUGUUGUUGUCAGCGGCACGGGAAUCUAUAUUCCUUUUUGUUGCGUCAUCUUGUGUCAGCUCUCCAUGUGUGGGGCCAUUCAUGGGCAGGCUGCACUUUCUUUUGUGCUAGGCGGCUCUCCUUACGGGGUGCACUCCCUGCACGUGGGGGACACCCCUGUGUGGCACAGCACUCCUUGCGCGCAUCAGCACUGCACAUGGGCCAGCUCCACACGGGUCAAGGAGGUCCGCGGUUUGAACCACGGACCUCCCAUGUGGUAGGUGGACGCUGUACCCACUGGGCCAAGUCUGCUUCCCCUGUUUUUAUAUAUUAUUAUAUAGGAAUAUAUAUAGGAAUAUUAUAUAGGAAUAAUGAAAAUACUCUAAUAAUGAUUGAAGUAAUGAGUGCACAAUUAUGUGAUUAUACCAAAUGCCACAGAUUGUAUACUUUGGAUGGAUUAUAUGUUUUAUGAAUAUGUAUCAAUAAAAUUGAUUUUAAAAAAGAAAUAUUGCACAGUGAUAGAAACAGAAAGGUCUAUUUAUGACAAAGAAAAUAAAAACAUACACAUGACAUAAGUGUAUACCAUUUUCUUUUGGUAACUUCCUGGAUUUGUCCAUGAGCCUAUUUGUAAACAUAAUUACAGAUAUUUCAUACAUACAUUUUGUAUACUGUUUUUUAUCAUAUACCAAGUAUUUUCUAUGCUAUAGCAUGAUACUUCAUAAUUCAUCAAACUCAAAAAUUAUAAAGUGUUUUUUGGGGGAUGAGGGGCUCUAUUACCAAAAAACAAUGCUUUAUCCACUUUUUUGUUUUUCUGCUAAAUACUUUCUUUGUAAUAAAUUUGCAAGCAUGAAUAAAACCACUGGGUAUAAAAUUUCCUGACAUUAGCUACAUAUUGUUUUACUAAUUUCCAAAGAUCUGUACCAAAUAAGACAACUGUAAGUUUCAGUGUGCCCACUAUGCUGUAAUUUUGUUAGCAUUCGUGUGUGUGCAAACUAACUGAAUAUAUGGUUCAGCAUCUAAAACUUGCUCAAAAAGACUUUAAUUUACAUUUCUGUGGAUAAUAAUGAAACUUAAGAUUCCUUCAUGAGUUGGGUUUUGGGCAACUUUUGUGGUAAGAAUUUUUAGAAAAAAAUACCACAACAGCAAAUAUGAUAAUAGGUAUUACCAAAUUUUUACAUUCAUUUACAAAAAGAAAAAAAAAUUAUCAUCUUUGAGUUUCUUAGUAAUAUAUGCUGUUACUAUAAGCAAUCAACAUCUAAUAUGACUGUAAACUGUAAUUUCUAGAUAGUCAUAUGUGUGCAUGUAUGUAUGUAUGCAUAUUAUAUGCAUGCACACAUCCACAUGCCACUAAAGUUCUGUGCUGGAAAGAAAGAAUGCAAAACAAACAGUCAAGAGACCUAUGUUCUAGUUCUAGAUUGACUCCAGGGAAGUAUCACUUAUUUUUUAAAAAAUCUUUUUACUCUCUGUAAGGAUCUAGUUCUUAUAUCAUAAGGUUAUUUGAAGAGGGUAUAAGAAAAUAGAUAUGAAAGUACUCUGACAAGUUAUGUGAAUCUUGUUAAAUAUGUCAUUCAUGGAAGUCACCUAUAGUAUAAAACUGGGAAUUCAUCAAUUCAUCACAGUUGCCACAGGUUCAUCUGUAAGUGGCACUUUCCAAGGCACCACAACAAAGUAACAAAGUCUCUACCUUCUAUAUGGUAAAAUACAGCCCCAGAUUAGAAAUCAGAAUACCUAAAAUUCUGAGGUAGGAAAAGAAAAAUUUAGUUAGAUUUACAAUGUAUCCUGCAAUACCCACCUCUUAACUAAACUGCCCCCUGCAAGAAGCCACAAAGAAGAAUGUCAGUAUUCUUUAAAAGUGCCCCAGAAGGUUGAUGCUGCCAUUGAAACCGGCUUCAUGAUUUCAGUCAUGAUAAGGAAGAGUGGAGGCCCCAGAGCUAAGCAUCCAGAUGCAAGAUGGGCAUAGCUAACGUAGUAAGUAGGAGGGCCAAAUGAAUCACUAGUGGUUGGCUGGAGCCCCAGGGAUCUGUGGGUUGGAUUGGUAAUGCCCGGGUUCCUAGAAUGGCUGGGAAGCCUACAACCGCUCAUUGACUCUCUAGUUCAGGUGACAGGUCCAAGUUUGAAUCAACUCCUUAGAGGUCAAUGGCUCCUGUCCUAGGUCCUGUCUCAAGUCAUUUUGUAGUCCUAGAGUGCCUAAAAGGAGAAGUUGGGUAUUAAGUUGGGUAUUUUAGGGAAGAACCCUUUUAUAAUAUCAUAUUUACAUAGUUUAAAUCUUCUCUCUACCCUUUCCCAAAGAAUCUGCAGCUAUUUUUGAGGAAAACAGUGCAUUUUGGGCACUGUCCCUGAGCUAAUGCUGAUCUCCAAGUACGAAACACCUAUGUGUUCUACUAGUUAAGUUGAAGACUUCGUGGGUGUCAAAACAGAAAUGGAGCCUGUCUUAUUAUUAUGGGCUUAUGUCCCAAGUUCACAGUUGGAAUAUAUACCCACAAACUGGUAGAAUUUCUAGAAUUGUAACUUGACACAUGUAAUGAGAACUGUUAUGAUUAGACAAGCUAAAGAGAAGCUCCUGAGCUCCUCUUCCCUGCCAAAAUAAUAACCCAAAAGCAAUAAUGUAUCUUUUGGGGGAAUCACAGAUUAGUGCUGUCAUCAAAAGACUUUAAAGAUGCUGGGUGGUAGUACCUAUCGUAAUUCUUCUGGGACUGCCAGGCCUAUGUAGAAAGCUGAGAAAUCAUGGAGAAAGACAGUAGAAGAUCACAAACAUCUUCAGACAGUAAUUUCAGUUGUAGCUACUGAUCCAGAUGUGGAGCCUAUUACAGUGAAUCAAUACAUCCCCUUAUCUGGAAUGCACCUACUGAUUUUUCACAUUUUUUUUUGUUAUUGUUGUUGCUUUUAUCUCAAAAGGCAGAGAAAACAGAAAGCCACAUGCUUUCACCUUGCAGGGUAGUCAUAUAUGUUUACCACCUUGUCUUAGUGCUAUGUCAACUCUGCUUCCAUGUAUAAAUCUGUGUGCAGUGAUUUUCAUCACCUUUCUGUCCACAGGACAGUAUGACAUUAUGCUGACAGGAUUUGUUGGCAGGAAGUAACGGGGAUCCUAUGAUACCAUGGUAAGACAAGUAUGUGACAGAGGGUAAAAGAUCAAUACUGCAAAAUUUGGAGCCUGCUCCCUGAGUGAAAUUUCUUUCGGUGCAAUGAUCUGAGGCAAGCUGAGCUAUUACCUCCAAAGUGAAAAAAUGUUAUUGCACUGUUCACUGCCUAUCACCAAAAGAAACACAAAUGCUUACUAGAGUUCAAUGGACUUUGGAAGAAACACAUGUCACUUUUUCAUGGACUACUCUGACCUACUUACUAAGAAAUGGGCAAUGCCACACCCUAUUCAACAAGUAACUAUGUUCCUUUUGAUAAACAGAUCUUGACUUGUUACUGGCCCCCAGUGGAGACUGAUGCCUGAUUACCACAGGAUAAUAGAUAACCAUGGGGUAGAAGAUGGCCAUGUGACCCACAGGGAAGUGAUUACUGUGUGACUCACCUGGCCAAGUGAUAGCUACGCCCAGGUGCACUUGAUCUUUAGGUGAAGGUGGUAUAUCAGCAUGUUCAGGUAUGACAGCACCUAACAGUUUCAUGAACAAACACUCUUAAUAUGCCUACUGCUGCCAAAACCAGCCAUCCUGCCCUCAACUCACACAAUAACCACAUGAGAAAGUCCCAGUGGCCUCUUGCUGCAGAGAAAAAAAUCAGAGCCUGGUUUAUAUGGCCAAUAUGAUCUAUUGGCAACAGCUGAAAGAAGAUGGUCUUAGCCUCACAGAGCCCCUCAAAGAAGGCCCCAAGAAAUGAGCAAAGCUCAGAUGCCAUUUGCCCAGAAGAUAGGGCAUGAAGUGUGGCUCACACAGGUUCACACACCACCACAAUUGUCUGGCUGGAUGGCUGAGAACAUUCUUUCAGGCAACAUCUCAUGACACUUGACUCGAGCUGAGGCAGACUGCAAUGCGGACCUGAUUCACCAAGGACCAGAGUUUAGAUGGGUGAUCACAGAUGUGGACAGAAGAAGACUGAAGAAAUUGCAAUAAAAUCUUGGGGAGAGGUGUGUG
ensembl:lincRNA